rnacentral:rRNA from 1 species
GUUAAAGCACUUUCAGUCGUGAGGAAGGUAGUGUAGUUAAUAGCUGCAUUAUUUGACGUUUAGCGACAGAAGAAGCACCGGCUAACUCCGUGCCAGCAGCCGCGGUAAUACGGAGGGUGCGAGCGUUAAUCGGAAUUACUGGGCGUAAAGCGCAUGCAGGUGGUUUGUUAAGUUCAGAUGUGAAAGACCCGGGGCGUCAACCUCGGAAUAGCAUUUGAAACUAGGCAGACUAGAGUACUGUAGAGGGGGGUAGGAAGUUUCAGGUGUAGCGGUGAAAUAGCGUAGAGAUCUGAAGGAAUACCGGUGGCGAAGGCGGCCCCCUCGGACAGAUACUGACACUCAGAUGCGAAAGCGUGGGGAGCAAACAGGAUUAGAUACCCUGGUAG